UCUUCCCCUAAGACAGGAGUUUCUUGAUCCUGAAGCCCGGGGUUUUAAACACCUGUGUCCCCGCAGGGCGGGGUGGUUGGCAUCACCAUCGACUGGAACUGUGACCUGGACUGGCAUGUGCGGCACUGCAAACCCAUCUACGAGUUCCAUGGACUGUAUGAGGAGAAAAGCCUGUCUCCAGGCUUCAAUUUCAGGUUUGCCAGGCACUUCGUGGAAAACGGGACCAACCACCGCCACCUCUUUAAGGUGUUUGGGAUUCGCUUUGACAUUCUCGUGGAUGGCAAGGCUGGGAAGUUUGACAUCAUUCCCACAAUGACGACCAUUGGCUCUGGGAUUGGCAUCUUUGGGGUGGCCACGGUUCUCUGUGACCUGUUGCUCCUCCAUAUCCUGCCCAAAAGGCACUACUACAAGCAGAAGAAGUUCAAGUACGCGGAGCACAUGGGGCCAGGGGCGGGUGAGCGUGACCCUGCAGCCACCAGCUCCACCCUGAGCCUGCGGGAGAACAUGAAGGCAUCCUGACCCUCAGCCCCUGCCUCCUGACUGGACACAGCAUGAGGCUUCAGGCAGGGGCCCUGCUGGGGGCCCAGGACAGAACGGUCUCCGCAGGAGCUCUCCACGCUCUUAGCCAGGCAGACACUAGGCCUCGGCAGCCCAGGGGGGACACUGGGAGAGACCUGAGCAAGUCUGGUCUCUGGCCCCAACUCCACAAGCCCAAAGGGAGCUUCGCACCAGCCUCAGCCACUCCUGGUCUAGAGGGGCUGGGGCUGGGCAGGGAUCCUCUCACACCCCUCCAUCAGAGCUGUGUGCUUCUCUCUGGGCCCUCAUGCACCGCAUUGCCUCGUGUCUCCAGAUCCAUGCUUUCCCAUAUGGCAGACACUAGCCACGAUGACCAUUUAAAUUUAUAUUAAUUUAAACCGAAUAAAAUAAAAAAAUCAGUUCCUAAAACUAGCCACAUUACAACUGCUAAAUAGAGACAUGUGCCUAAUGGCUGCCAUAUUGGACCACAUAGACUAUUGCAGCAAGUUCUAUUGGACAGCUCUGCUUGAGCCCUGUUUCUUACUGGCCCCAGAUUUUCCUAGGGAGCUUAUCAACAGGGCAGGCACCCGGGUCUACCUCAGAUCUCCUGAACCAGAAUCUCUACGGCUGGCCACAGAUAUGCAAGGAUGGCAAACUCCCCAGGCCAUUUCAAAGACUGAAGUUUAGGAACCGUUCCCGAUUGGGUAUCAGAUUUAGUCUGGGCCUGCCUGACCUGGCAGCUGCAGGUUUUGAGUAGGUGUGUGGUAUACCUGCAAGUCACAUGGUCUCACGUACACACCCCCAUGUCCACACUCAUCUGCAUGCAUACCCCCCUCCCAUCCACACUCUGGUUUUGAACAGCUUGGGCCCUGCAAACACAACCAUCUGAACGUACCUACGCCCUCAAGUACAGACACAUGGUCCAUGCCACAACACUUCCAUGGAGACGUGCUUCUCCCUAAGUGCGUCAGGCCAGGACAGUCCCUUCAAGCCAUGAAUCCUCACUCAGCUACCUUGGGUUGGGUUGGAGCCCUGGCCAAAUCCUGGGCUCCCUGCUUGUGGCCCAGCCUCAGCACCUAAGGCCUGCCCAAUUCUGUCUGAACACAAGGUCUGGGAGAAGGGAGGGGUGGAGUACAAUAAAAGGAAGGAGGACAGACUUCUGCCUUCUGUACUUUUCCCCACUUUUCCCUCUCUGAAACUAGGUGUCCCCAUCUGUGGAAUGCGGGGCUGAGCUGAGAGAUCUUUGAGGUCCUCUGGAUCUCUUGGUAGACAGUGGUGAGUCGCCACUUAGGCCCUGAGCCCAGCAGGGUCAGUGCUGGAGAUCAGCUCACCUCUGUCCAUGGGCCACUGUACCCAAACAUUGGAGCUCUUUCUGGUCCUCCAUGUACCCCUCCCACAGCUUUGAGAGGCCUGGAACUCAGACAGCAGACACUCUCCGGAGCGGCCUCAGGAAAGCAGGAAUAAGAACGGGGCUGGCUGCUCCAGGAGAGAGACCUGAGGGAAUCUCAACGAGGGGAGGAAGGUCUUGAAUGGACAUAGUGUGGAAGGAUUUUCCAGGGGCCCUGCAGUGGGCAAGACCUGCAGUCUGGACCUGUGGCCAGGCAGGGUCUCUGGGAACCCCCCAUCACCACACUCUAUCUAGACCAGUGCUGUCCAAUAGCAAUGAUGGAAACAUUCUCUAUCUGUGCUUCCCAAAAUAGUAUUCACUAACCACAUGUGGCCACUAAAUACUUAAAAUGUGGCUAGUGUAA